GGGUGUAGCUCAGUUGGGAGAGCGCCUGCUUUGCAAGCAGGAGGUCAUCGGUUCGAUUCCGUUCACCUCCACCAUUU
rnacentral:tRNA from 1 species